rnacentral:rRNA from 1 species
GGGUGAGUAACACAUAGGAAUCUGCCCAGUAGCGGGGGACGACUUGGGGAAACUCAAGCUAAUACCGCAUACGCCCUACGGGGGAAAGCAGGGGAUCUUCGGACCUUGCACUAUUGGAUGAGCCUAUGUCAGAUUAGCUUGUUGGUGGGGUAAUGGCCUACCAAGGCGACGAUCUGUAGCUGGUCUGAGAGGACGAUCAGCCACACUGGGACUGAGACACGGCCCAG